ACUCUUAUUAUAUACUCUACAACUGCAAGUCUCUAAAGCUCAGUACUUGAGUGAGCUCACUACCUAACAUCAAAUGGAAAAACUCCCAAUCCUUCAAUUCGAAGACAAAAUCAUCGACACAGUAAACAAAAACAUCGUCACCGUCUUAAUCGGAGAAACAGGUUCAGGCAAAAGCACCCAACUUUCUCAAAUCCUCUUCCGCCAUGGCUACGCUAAUUCCGGCACAAUCUGCGUCACUCAACCUCGCCGUGUCGCCGCCGUCUCCGUCUCCCGUCGCGUUUCCCAAGAAAUGGCCGUACCACUCGGCCAACAAGUCGGCUACGCCAUCCGAUUCGAAGAUCGAACUUCACCCCAAACUCGAAUCAAAUACGUAACUGAUGGUGUUCUUCUAAGAGAGAGUUUAUCCGACCCAGAACUUCGCUCUUAUUCCGUCAUCAUUCUAGAUGAAGCCCAUGAAAGGAGCUUAAACAUGGACAUAUUAAUGGGUCUUGUAAAAAGAUUGGUUGAUAUUCGAGGUUCUUCGGGUUUUAGGGUUUUGAUUACUUCUGCUACACUUGAAGGAGAGAAGGUAUCCGCAUUUUUUAACGGGUGUCCUGUUUUAAAUGUACCCGGGAAACUGUUUCCUGUCGAGGUGAUUUACAGGAUGGAUGAUGAUGGUGGUGGUGGAGGAUUCAGAUCUUAUGUAGAUGCCGCGUUGAAGGUGGCCAUUGACAUUCAUGUUAAAGAGCCUGAAGGGGAUAUAUUGAUAUUCAUGACAGGUCAAGAAGAUAUUGAGAAAUUGGUUAAGAAGCUCGAAGAUCGAGUUCGGAGUUUGGAAGAAGGUUCUGUGAUGGAUGCUGUGAUUCAUCCACUUCAUGGGUCAUUGCCCCCUGAGUUACAGGUGCGUGUUUUUAGCCCUCCUCCGCCGAAUUGUAGGAGAUUUAUUGUUGCGACUAAUAUUGCUGAGACUUCUUUAACUGUUGAUGGAGUUGUGUAUGUUAUUGAUUCUGGUUAUGUUAAGCAAAGACAGUAUAAUCCUUCUACUGGAAUGUAUUCUUUGGAUGUUGUUAAGAUUAGUAGAGUGCAGGCUAAUCAACGAGCGGGGCGUGCUGGGAGAACACGCCCCGGGAAAUGCUAUAGGUUGUAUCCUUAUGUGGUGUAUAAAGAUGAGUUUAUGGAGGCCGCGGUUCCUGAGAUACAGAGAACCUCGCUUGGUGGGAGUGUUUUGUAUUUGAAAACAUUGGACCUUCCUGGCAUUGAUAUUCUUAAGUUUGAUUUUCUAGACCCGCCUUCUUACGGAUCUUUAGGUGAUGCACUUAGGCAAUUGUACCUUAUUGAUGCUAUUGAUGAGGAUGGAUUGAUAACAAGUGUUGGGCGAACUAUGUCUGAGCUUCCAUUGGAGCCUUCAUUGUCGAGGACUUUGAUAGCGGCUAAUGAGAAUGGAAGCCUUUCGCAGGCUUUGACUAUCGCUGCUAUGUUAUCGGCUGAAACUUCUCUGCUUCCUAGUUUCGUAAAAGGGUCUGAAAAGAAACGGAAGCAUACUCCUUUGAAGCUUCCGGAUGGAGAUGGUUUGGGUGAUCAUAUACAGCUGCUCCAGAUUUAUGAGUUUUGGAGUGAAACAAACUAUGAUCUCGAAUGGUGCAAAGAGUAUGGAUUGCAGAUAAGAGGGAUGUCAUUUGUCAAGGACGUCCGUGGACAGUUAUGUCAAAUAAUGCAGAAGAUGGCAAAAUGUCCAAUGGAAGUUCACGGGAGACAUAGCUCUAGAGAAAGAAAACUGAGUUAUAGAAACUUGAGGAGGGCACUCUGUGUUGGUUACGCUAAUCAGCUUGCUGAAAGAAUGAUGCGCCAUAAUGGGUACAGAACACUUGGGUUGAAGUCUCAGCUUGUUAAGGUACACCCAUCAUCUGUGUUACUACCCGAUGAGGAUGGAAUGCUUCCGAAUUAUGUGGUGUUCCAUGAGUUGAUAACAACGUCUAGUCCAUUCAUGCGGAAUGUAUGUGCUGUAGAGAUGCAAUGGAUCUCCCCCAUCUUGAAGAAGCUUGAGAAUCUUGAUAUUAACAAACUCAGUGGGGGCAUGAGUGAUCUUGAGGAUGAUACUUCAGGAAAGGUUCAAGAUGUGUUGAAGAAGGAAGCUAAGGAUGUUGAGUCGCCUGCUGACCGUGAUAGUAAGAUUCAGGCAGCUCGAGACCGUUUUCUUGCCCGUAAAGGGAAGAAGUAGCCAUUGGGUGAGAGAUUGCCAUCUGGUUCCAAGCACAUUAUUCCUGAAGCUGCUGCAUAGUAGUUAAGUUUAUGACUGAAGGAGAGAGUUGGUUAUUCAUUCAGUUCAAUAGGGCUUGAGUAGAUGUACUUACUACCAAGUAAGGCAUCAAGUUUUUUUGACCUUUGUCUUUCACUAUUAUAGCAAUCGACCCUCGUAUUCCCAAGUAACUUUACUUGAUGCUUAAUUGCUUAUGGGCAUCUUCACAUCUUUCUGAUGGCAGUGGCAAGAUCCAAGCUGUAUUGAGGCUGCCAUCUGCUUUUAACUUGUGGAGCGUGUACUCUUCGUGUUCUAUGUUCUGUCUUUUUACAUUCGACUUGCAGUUAAGUCUUAUCACUGCACUUUGUGUUAUUGGUUUAUUGUUGCUGGUGGUGACGUUCAGACUCAGGAAAAAUGAUGCUAUCAGUAAAGUCGGAGAAAUAGUCCCUCUGUGAAAUCGGCACUUCCUUGGGCCAUUUCUAGAAAAGAGUUUCAAGAAGGAAGCUAAUGGCCAAUGGGCCGUUUCCAAAUCAGUUCAGAAGAUAAAAGGACAGAUUAGUAGUCACAGAUGCAGGCUGUCACUGAUGCUGGAAUUAUACCUCCUUUAGUCCAUCUGCUCCAAAUGCCGAGUUUAAUCUCUAAGGGAUGUUUCUUUGGGACGUUAAUAACCAAUAAAGCAUAAUGUACUUUCAUAAUGUAUCACAAUUUGUUUGUUCUAUGAUUUUCAAUGAAAAAGGUCAAAUUUUCACCUUUUA